rnacentral:rRNA from 1 species
AGUCGAGGGGAAACGACAUCGAAAGCUUGCUUUUGAUGGGCGUCGACCGGCGCACGGGUGAGUAACGCGUAUCCAACCUGCCCACCACUUGGGGAUAACCUUGCGAAAGUAAGACUAAUACCCAAUGAUAUCUCUAGAAGACAUCUGAAAGAGAUUAAAGAUUUAUCGGUGAUGGAUGGGGAUGCGUCUGAUUAGCUUGUUGGCGGGGUAACGGCCCACCAAGGCGACGAUCAGUAGGGGUUCUGAGAGGAAGGUCCCCCACAUUGGAACUGAGACACGGUCCAAACUCCUACGGGAGGCAGCAGUGAGGAAUAUUGGUCAAUGGACGAGAGUCUGAACCAGCCAAGUAGCGUGCAGGAAGACGGCCCUAUGGGUUGUAAACUGCUUUUAUAAGGGAAUAAAGUGAGUCUCGUGAGACUUUUUGCAUGUACCUUAUGAAUAAGGACCGGCUAAUUCCGUGCCAGCAGCCGCGGUAAUACGGAAGGUCCGGGCGUUAUCCGGAUUUAUUGGGUUUAAAGGGAGCGUAGGCCGGAGAUUAAGCGUGUUGUGAAAUGUAGACGCUCAACGUCUGCACUGCAGCGCGAACUGGUCUUCUUGAGUACGCACAACGUGGGCGGAAUUCGUGGUGUAGCGGUGAAAUGCUUAGAUAUCACGAAGAACUCCGAUUGCGAAGGCAGCUCACGGGAGCGCAACUGACGCUGAAGCUCGAAAGUGCGGGUAUCGAACAGGAUUAGAUACCCUGGUAGUCCGCACGGUAAACGAUGGAUGCCCGCUGUUGGCCUGAAUAGGUCAGCGGCCAAGCGAAAGCAUUAAGCAUCCCACCUGGGGAGUACGCCGGCAACGGUGAAACUCAAAGGAAUUGACGGGGGCCCGCACAAGCGGAGGAACAUGUGGUU